GAUGAACGCUAGCGGCAGGCUUAAUACAUGCAAGUCAAGGGGUAGCAAUACAACCGGCGCACGGGUGAGUAACGCGUACACAACAUACCAUAUACUGGAGUAUAGCUUUGGGAAACUGAAGGUAAUCCUCCAUAACAUUGCGAGAGGGCAUCUGAUUGCAAUUAAAGUUUCGGCGGUAUAUGAUUGGUGUGCGUUUGAUUAGCUAGUUGGUAGGGUAACGGCCUACCAAGGCGACGAUCAAUAGCUGGCGUGAGAGCGCGACCAGCCACACUGGAACUGAGACACGGUCCAGACUCCUACGGGAGGCAGCAGUAGGGAAUAUUGGACAAUGGAGGAAACUCUGAUCCAGCCAUGCCGCGUGAUAGAUGAAGGCCCUCUGGGUUGUAAAUAUCUUUUAUCUGGGAAGAAACACUCCUAUUCUUAGGAACUUGACGGUACCAGAGGAAUAAGCACCGGCUAACUCCGUGCCAGCAGCCGCGGUAAU
rnacentral:rRNA from 1 species